GUCUACGGUCAUGCUACCCAACAAGCCUGAUCCCGUCUGAUCUCGGAAGCUAAGCAGGGCUGGGCCUGGUUAGUAUGUGGAUGGGAGACCACCUAGGAAGACCAGGUGCUGUAGGAG
rnacentral:rRNA from 1 species